rnacentral:lncRNA from 1 species
GGCGUGCACCACUGGAUCUUCUGGCUUCAUCCGGCAUUCCUUCACCAUCCACAGGUGACAGUGGUGCCUAGCGGACUGUGUUUCCUAAGUCUAACGGAGCUUGGCAGAGGCCCUGACUCAGGUACACCAGUACUAGCCGCUUCGGAGUCAGACAAUUGAUAGUGGUUCUUAUCUUGCAGCAAAAACAAUUACACGGCAUCACUGCACUGCCGCCACCGCCUGUCUGUUGAGGCAUGCUACCCCACCUGCCACGUGUGGUCGCCAAGACCACCUCCACUCGUUCUCUGCACGUAAGGCUGCGGCUCUCUCUGCAACUCCGAGCUAUACGGUCCGUCUGUUGGUAGUUGCAGCAAAUGAUCGCCUUCUGCAAUCCACGCUGUCCAGUUGGGUCGACUGGAUACAAAAUGUUCACGGCACUCACGGCCGCCAGUCGUCUGCAUGUGGGCCUGAGAUGGCUUUGGCAUAAAGGCUCUGAAUCCCAGCAGAUACUGCAGCAAUGACGACAAUAUUCGAGUUGGGAGAAGUACCGUUGACUCGGCCUGUAGCACUACGACCAGUUACACUCCGUCACCACUAGCCAGGACGUUUGCAUUCCCUAACUGAAUACCGAGACCCCAGCAUUUCCACAUCAGGGCAUUUCCUUGCACACUCACACUUCUGUUGAGGAAACGGUCCUCUCCCAACUCGUGUGGUUGUCGACCAUUUUGUUAAGAAUAUGAAGGCAAGGAGACUGGUCGCGAUAUAAGGGUUACAGUCUGUGGGUUAGUGGUGAACGGCAAGAAGACUUUAGGAGAUUCCUAUGAAGGAAUACCGAUCCAUCCGAAGUUGAGAUAGAAAGACAUGCACCACUCUGGUCUUAUGUACCGAUACCAACGGAAGUAUCGUACAGUCGCCCACCAUCAACGCUGGGCACGAGGGGACGUCCGAGAUAUGCGGCCGGAGUCUGUUAAGACCAGCAAAGCGCCGGACCCCCGUUGGGUCCUAUUACUGUGGCUACCAUUCACUGGUAUAUGAGUGUCGGUCAUUUCCAACACCCCCCCGUGAGCGACACUCUCUCGCUCCGGGCCUUCCCGUGCCUCAUCCCGGUCUCCCAUUCUCUGGGCAACAGCCAGUGGGUAUCGAUCCGGCGACCUCUCGGCAGCGCAAUGCGCCAUUCGGGGCUCAUAACCUAUUGAAGAAUUGGCGACGGUGACGGCUAACGCUGAUUGUUAUUCCGGAAGGAUUGCCGGUGGCGAAGAUAUUUAGCACGAUAAACUUGUUACAAGUAAUGUAAAGAGUAUUGUUAGCGUUCGGCAGGACUUGAGGAGAUUCCUGGUAGGAAUACCGAUCGUUGUGAGAUAAACUAAUAGGCGCAGUCACCGCCCUAAAUACCGGCGCUAGCGGAAAACUCGUACAUUCCGCGAUCUAACUGCACGUACAUUCCGCGAUCUCACUGCGCCGUCCAGACGGUGCCCUAAUGUCUAUCACUUAGCUACCGGAUAUGCAUCGGUAGCCCCAUAAGGUUCUGGGGUAAGUCUUCCCCAUUAGUCAGGCGCAGACCCGGGGUCAAAUCCCCUGGUCG